UUCCAUAUAUGUGUUUCAUUUUUUUUCCAGCGGGGCAAGGACUUUUUUUUUCAUUAAUUGAAGCGGGGCAAGAACUUUUUUUAUAAUGAAUAUUGGCGGGGCAUACAGUUUUUUUUUUUUUAAUAUUUGCUGUACACCGGCCCCACCCUCAGAUAAAUAUUGCACAGUCCCUUAGAUAUUGUUUAUAUGAUAUCGAACAAUUAUUGCGCUAAGACUGACCCUGUUUAACCAAACACUUUUUAUUGCUUUUCACUGGGUUUUUUUUAUGUAAGUGCAUCUUCUUUGCACCGUAAAAGUCUAACAAUAAAAUUAUUUCACCAAUUUGCUCGUUAUAUGCUCAGAACUUGAAAAAUAAUUUUGACCGAAGCCAUCCGGAGAUUUCAUGAGAGUUAUUUCCCCUUAUGCAUUUGAUAUAAGGAAUAUGCACUUGUAACUGGUAAACCAUAAGUGGUAGAGACUUAAGGUCUUUUGAUUGGAGGUCCAUUGUACAAAAAAUAAAAAUAAGGUCAAGGUCAAAGUUCAUGUUCUUAAUAAUUGAGUUUGGCUUAUUUUCACUGCUUUUCAGAAACCGUAUAAUAUAUUGACAAAUACUUUGAACUAAAUUGUAAGUUAUGACAUGUCGCAACAAAUACAAUUUGGUUGAAAAAUUGCAUAGACAUUUAGUGGGAGUUUUAGCCCCUCAUAUAUUUAGAAUCUGCGUAUAGUAAUUUAACUCAUUAACCAUAUAUGAUAAAGACCUAGGGUCUUUUGAUGAUAUCCUUGGUUUAAGACCUUGGAAUUUAGUUCAAUGUCAAAUGUCAAAUUGAUAUUUUAAAUUUUAACCUUUGCUUUAGAUUCAAAUUUAUACAUGAUAAAGCCUUUGGAUUUUUUGCAUUUGGUUAGUACAUAUUUAACAUUGACAAUGUCAACCAGAAGUGACCUUUUUCAAACCGGAAGUAACAAUUUAUCUCCUUAAUUUAAAGCAAAAGAAUAUAGAUCUAAGCUAUAUAUUUUUGGAAUCAGAGGACAGUAAGCUAUUAUUUGACAUCCGAAAUAAAUUUGAAUUAACCGGAAGUGGCUUAUUAUCUUUCUUAAUUGAUAAAAAAAGUUCCACCAACAUUGUAUUUUCAAAAUCAGUAUUUCAUUUUAACCCUGGAAAUAUUGUUUUUUUUUAUCAAAAUGUUAAUUUGAGUAGAAAGACCAUUAAUUACCUCAGUAUUUCAUUAGAAUAAAGUAAAACUUGUAUGAUUGUUUUGAUAUAAUAUGUACAUUUUGUAAAAGAUAAAAGGCACCUAAACUAGGUUGAGCGCCUGAAAAUAAGUAAUGUCCUUUUCCCCAAUUUGUUUUAAUAAUUUUUCUCUGAACGAUUGUUUUUCAACUAUAUAUCAAACAGCCGUUUGAAAAGAAUAGGGGAAUAUACAAAAUAAAUACUUAAUGAAAAUAAAACUGUAUAAAUGUGAUGCAUCUGACGUCUUUUCCCCCCAAAUCAUUUGAAAGCAAAGGUUGAGCAAAUAUUUGAAUAUUCAGAGGCUAAAUGUAUAUGACCAAAAGUAACAUAAAAUACAAUAUAGAAAUACUUGUAUACAUUCUAAUAUUACAUCCUUUUUUUGCGUUGUAAACAACACCGUGAUAAAAUUUUCGAUAUAUCUAUGAUUAGAACAGACUCAGAGAUAUAUACACAUGGAAAAAAGUAUUGCACACCUGAUUUUUUAAAACUUGAAAAAUCAGCCUCUUUAA
rnacentral:lncRNA from 1 species